rnacentral:rRNA from 1 species
UACGUAGGGGGCUAGCGUUGUCCGGAAUCAUUGGGCGUAAAGAGCGCGUAGGCGGCCAGAUAAGUCCGGUGUGAAAGUCACAGGCUCAACCUGUGAAUGCCGCUGGAAACUGUCUGGCUAGAGUCCGGAAGGGGCGAGUGGAAUUCCUGGUGUAGCGGUGAAAUGCGCAGAUAUCAGGAGGAACACCAAUGGCGAAGGCGGUCCCCUGGGCCGGAACUGACGCUGAGGCGCGAAAGCGUGGGUAGCAAACGGG